AGAUUAAGUUAUUAAGGGCGCACGGUGGAUGCCUUGGCACUAGAAGCCGAAGAAGGACGUUACUAACGACGAUAUGCUUUGGGUAGCUGUAAGUAAGCGUUGAUCCAGAGAUUUCCGAAUGGGGGAACCCAACAUGAGUUAUGUCAUGUUAUCGACAUGUGAAUUCAUAGCAUGUCAGAAGGCAGACCCGGAGAACUGAAACAUCUUAGUACCCGGAGGAAGAGAAAGAAAAAUCGAUUCCCUGAGUAGCGGCGAGCGAAACGGGAAGAGCCCAAACCAACAAGCUUGCUUGUUGGGGUUGUAGGACACUCUAUACGGAGUUACAAAAGAACAUGUUAGACGAAUCAUCUGGAAAGAUGAAUCAAAGAAGGUAAUAAUCCUGUAGUCGAAAACAUAUUCUCUCUUGAGUGGAUCCUGAGUACGACGGAGCACGUGAAAUUCCGUCGGAAUCUAGGAGGACCAUCUCCUAAGGCUAAAUACUCUCUAGUGACCGAUAGUGAACCAGUACCGUGAGGGAAAGGUGAAAAGUACCCCGGAAGGGGAGUGAAAGAGAACUUGAAACCGUGUGCUUACAAGUAGUCAGAGCCCGUUUAUGGGUGAUGGCGUGCCUUUUGUAGAAUGAACCGGCGAGUUACGAUCUGAUGCAAGGUUAAGCAGCGAAUGUGGAGCCGUAGCGAAAGCGAGUCUGAAUAGGGCGUUGAGUAUUUGGUCGUAGACCCGAAACCAGGUGAUCUACCCUUGGUCAGGUUGAAGUUCAGGUAACACUGAAUGGAGGACCGAACCGACUUACGUUGAAAAGUGAGCGGAUGAACUGAGGGUAGCGGAGAAAUUCCAAUCGAACUUGGAGAUAGCUGGUUCUCUCCGAAAUAGCUUUAGGGCUAGCCUCAAGUGAUGAUUAUUGGAGGUAGAGCACUGUUUGGACGAGGGGCCCCUCUCGGGUUACCGAAUUCAGACAAACUCCGAAUGCCAAUCAAUUUAAC
rnacentral:rRNA from 1 species